GACGAACGCUGGCGGCGUGCUUAACACAUGCAAGUCGAGCGGUAAGGCUCCUUCGGGAGUACACGAGCGGCGAACGGGUGAGUAACACGUGAGCAAUCUGCCCUUCACACUGGGAUAACCCCCGGAAACGGGAGCUAAUACCAGAUACGACCACUUCGGGCAUCCGAUGGUGGUGGAAAGUUCCGGCGGUGAAGGAUGAGCUCGCGGCCUAUCAGCUUGUUGGUGAGGUAAUGGCUCACCAAGGCUUCGACGGGUAGCCGGCCUGAGAGGGUGACCGGCCACACUGGGACUGAGACACGGCCCAGACUCCUACGGGAGGCAGCAGUGGGGAAUAUUGGACAAUGGGCGAAAGCCUGAUCCAGCAACGCCGCGUGAGGGAUGACGGCCUUCGGGUUGUAAACCUCUUUCAGCAGGGACGAAGCGAAAGUGACGGUACCUGCAGAAGAAGGACCGGCCAACUACGUGCCAGCCGCCGCGGUAACAC
rnacentral:rRNA from 1 species